CCUACGGGUGGCAGCAGUGAGGAAUAUUGGUCAAUGGACGAGAGUCUGAACCAGCCAAGUAGCGUGAAGGAUGACUGCCCUAUGGGUUGUAAACUUCUUUUAUAAAGGAAUAAAACGAGGCACGUGUGCCUUUUUGCAUGUACUUUAUGAAUAAGGAUCGGCUAACUCCGUGCCCGCAGCCGCGGUAAUACGGAGGAUCCGAGCGUUAUCCGGAUUUAUUGGGUGUAAAGGGAGCGUAGGUGGAUUGUUAAGUCAGUUGUGAAAGUUUGCGGCUCAACCGUAAAAUUGCAGUUGAAACUGGCAGUCUUGAGUACAGUAGAGGUGGGCGGAAUUCGUGGUGUAGCGGUGAAAUGCUUAGAUAUCACGAAGAACUCCGAUUGCGAAGGCAGUUCACUGGACUGCAACUGACACUGAGGCUCGAAAGUGUGGGUAUCAAACAGGAUUAGAUACCCUUGUAGUC
rnacentral:rRNA from 1 species